rnacentral:lncRNA from 1 species
CGGUGUGCGGCAUGCGCGCUACUUUUUGAUGCUCUUUAUCGACUUCCUGCUUGUUCCGGCAGUUGAGAUACGGGUCGUCUGCAGCGAGUGCCAUCAGGU